UUGUCCCGUCGAUGAGUGAAGAAGGGUUUCGGCUCGUAAAGCUCUGUUGUUGGUGAAGAAGGACAGGGGUAGUAACUGACCUUUGUUUGACGGUAAUCAAUUAGAAAGUCACGGCUAACUACGUGCCAGCAGCCGCGGUAAUACGUAGGUGGCAAGCGUUGUCCGGAUUUAUUGGGCGUAAAGCGAGUGCAGGCGGCUCGAUAAGUCUGAUGUGAAAGCCUUCGGCUCAACCGGAGAAUUGCAUCAGAAACUGUCGAGCUUGAGUACAGAAGAGGAGAGUGGAACUCCAUGUGUAGGGGUGGAAUAA
rnacentral:rRNA from 1 species